rnacentral:rRNA from 1 species
GACGAACGCUGGCGGCGUGCUUUACACAUGCAAGUCGAACGGUGAAGGUGGAGCUUGCUCCGCCGGAUCAGUGGCGAACGGGUGAGUAACACGUGGGCAACCUGCCCCUAACUUUGGGAUAACUACUCGAAAGAGUAGCUAAUACCGGAUAUGAAGUCUGUAGGCAUCUAUGGAUUUGGAAAGAUUUUCGGUUAGGGAUGGGCCCGCGGCCUAUCAGCUUGUUGGUGAGGUAGUGGCUCACCAAGGCGACGACGGGUAGCCGGCCUGAGAGGGCGACCGGCAACAAUGGGACUGAGACACGGCCCAGACUCCUACGGGAGGCAGCAGUGGGGAAUAUUGCGCAAUGGGCGAAAGCCUGACGCAGCAACGCCGCGUGCGGGAUGAAGGCCUUCGGGUUGUAAACCGCUUUCAGCAGGGAAGAAGCGAAAGUGACGGUACCUGCAGAAGAAGCACCGGCUAACUACGUGCCAGCAGCCGCGGUAA